rnacentral:misc_RNA from 1 species
UACGAAGGGGGCGAGCGUUGUUCGGAAUCACUGGGCUUAAAGCGUACGUAGGCGGAUAAGAAAGUCAGAAGUGAAAUCCCGGGGCUCAACCCCGGAAUUGCUUUUGAAACUCCUUGUCUGGAGUCCCGGAGAGGUUAGCAGAAUUCCGAGUGUAGAGGUGAAAUUCGCAGAUAUUCGGAGGAAUACCAGUGGCGUAGGCGGCUAACUGGACGGGAACUGACGCUGAGGUACGAAAGCGUGGGGAGCAAACAGG